rnacentral:lncRNA from 1 species
ACGGGAUGAGCGAGCGGCGCGGCGCGGCGGAAGCGAAACACACAUUUCGUCACUCAAAGCACACUCGUGCAGCCCAGGAUCCCUUCGGAUCUCAGUCAGCCUUCUACCCUUUCAUGAUAUUCAUGACUCUCACAACUCCGCGAGAGGUUCACCUUCAAGUGUCGUCUCCCACUAGACAACGAGUCACAUUACCUUGUGACAAUACAAUCAC